rnacentral:rRNA from 1 species
AGGACAAACGCUGGCGGCGUGCAUAAAACAUGCAAGUCGGACGAGCCAAUCCCCGCAAGGGGAAAGGCUAGUGGCGAACGGCUGAGUAACACGUAGGUGAUCUGCCCUGAAGUGGGGGAUAACGACUCGAAAGAGUCGCUAAUACCGCAUGUGACCACCGAUUCGUUUUCGGUGCUCAAAGUCGUAAGACGCUUUAGGAGGAGCCUGCGGCGGAUUAGCUAGUUGGUGAGUAAUGGCCCACCAAGGCUUCGAUCCGUAGCUGGUCUGAGAGGAUGACCAGCCAGACUGGGACUGAGACACGGCCCAGACUCCUACGGGAGCAGCAGUUAGGAAUUUGCGCAAUGGGGGAAACCUGACGCAGCACGCCGCGUGCGGAUGGAAGCCGUCGGGUCGUAAACCGCCUUCGUCGAGAAGACACCGACGUACUCGAGCAAUAAACAACGGACUAACUACGUAGCCAGACAGACGCGGU